GGGCCGCUAGCUCAUCUGGCAGAGCACCUGACUUUUAAUCAGGUGGUACCUGGUUCGAGUCCAGGGCGGCCUACCA
rnacentral:tRNA from 3 species